GAAGCCGGAAUCGCUAGUAAUCGCGGAUCAGAAUGCCGCGGUGAAUACGUUCCCGGGUCUUGUACACACCGCCCGUCACACCAUGGGAGUCGGGAAUGCCCGAAGCCUGUGACUGAACCGAGAGGGAGGAGCAGUCGAAGGCAGGCCUGAUGACUGGGUGAAGUCGUAACAAGGUAGC
rnacentral:rRNA from 1 species